GCCUGAGUGGUAUGAACCUGGGACAGAAGCUUGCUGUGAGAUGCUGCUACCCGUCUGAGAAUGGGAUGACUUGUAAAGGGGGGCCAUGUGUGAAUGAUGGGAUGGCAUAUGUGAACGAUGGGUUGCUUUGGACUCAGCCUUCUCGUUCGCAGCUUUCUUGGAAGAAUGAACGGCAGACGCGUGUGAGCAUUGGGGUGAGGAGGCUUUCUUAGAAGAGUGAGCAGUGGCCUCAUGUGGCCGCUGGAAUGGCGCAUGUGAAUGAUGGGAUAUCUCGGAUUUGGCCUUCUCGCUCAUUGUGUCCUUCACCUGAAGAUUGGCAUGAAGCUGAAGAUCAACGUGGGGGUCAACUGCGGAAGAUACUCAGAAUUAUUAUGCAACAACCUAUGGAAGGCCACUGGUUCCCCAACAUCAGAAUGAAGAAAAAUUUGCAGAAGCUAAAAGUGAGACUUAUGACAAAUUCACUGAGAGAUUACUCAACACAUCAGAAAUCACAAGUGAACUUUUGAAGCUGUUAAAAAGAUGGUCUGAAAAAUCAAAAAUCUUCAACAAUCUGAAAAGCAUUUCUUUGGGAAUUUCCAAGUCCAUACAGAACACCAGUUAUAUCUCAAACUUAAAGAGUCCUCAAUCUAAGUUUUUUGUGAAUCAGAGGUAAUGAAGAUCCUUUGGUUACAAAGAAUCCUAACUUCAUCUGCACAACCAAUAAACCAUUUGAUCGGCAAUUAGCAAAUGAAAAUGAAUCUAUGAUUUCUAAACGGACCUACGGACCCUCCUUUGGCAACCACCCAGUAAAAAGGAAUGUGUGAUUACAAAAAGUGCUUAUUUAUUUGAUAUGUUGGGAAGGGUUUUGUGUAAUACUCCAACAGCUGUUGGAAGGUUGGAGAAUAUGGCAGGUAGAAAGUCAGGAUGGCAUGUAUCCUGGCGUGGUGUGGGUCGGAAUCUGGAGAGCCUGUUACUUGCACAGCACUCAUUCAGAAAACAGAUACAUCCACUAUGAGGACCUGGGGAUGUAGCCCAAAGAAAUAUUUUUGCCUCAAGAUCUAAUGACCUUGAGGACUCCGCCCCAAGAUGGUUGUUGAAGGGUAGGAGAUUUUUCUUUCUUACCCAUGAUCCAUCUGCUGGUUUGCUGCCAGAGCCGGUUCUUUGGCAGCCCUGCCCUCUGGAUUUGAAUGGGGGCACUUAGGAAUGACCCAAGACGGCUUUUGGACAGCUGUGGGCCCAGUUGGGAAGGGGGAAUCUUAAAGACUGCAGCUCCCUGUGGGAGUAGCCAGAAAGUCAACGGUCUUUUCUCCAUUCCAUGAACGCGUGCAGAUAUUGCCCAAAGAAAUUUUUUGUGGCACAUUUUUUUUAACUUACAAGAUCAAUCAAUCAAUAUUAUUUAAUUUGUCCAUGACCAGCCAAAUGUAAAACAAAAUGGUGCGAUCUAGAUAAAUCAGAUAAAAUCUAGAUAAAAUAUUAACAGCUAACAAAAUAAAUCACAGAAAAUAACAUUCACUCCCAGAGGGAAUGAGCCCCAGAACCAUGUUGAUUCAAUUCAGCUCACCUACCUAUCUCACCCCAAAUACUCCAAAUGAGAAAAAAGUAGUUUUGACAACUAUUCUUUAUUUGGUCAUAGACCACCAUGUAAAAAAAGGC